GCGAGAGACUCGCUAUCGAUAGGUUUUUACCCGAACAAAACUAGAAAAACGAAAAGAAGAAAAGAAAAAGGAGAGAGAGAGAGAGGGAGGGAGAGAUUGCAGCAAGAAAAAGAAAGGAAGAUGAAAAAAAUGUAAAAAUGGAAGAUCUGAUCUUCAAUCGAUCUCGACAUCGCCAGGGAUUUUCUUCAUCAUUGGUCAUGGUGUUUCCUGUUUAUUCUUCCCAGGUACCUACACAGUACAAGCUCACUGGGCCAAUUCCACCUGAAUUGGGGAACAUGUCCAAGCUAAGCUAUCUGUGAGGUCAAUUGAACAACAAUGAACUGGUUGGUAGCAUUCCGGCCGAGCUUGGACAGCUGGAGUUGUUUGAAUUGUGCAUGGCAAAGAUCGAAUGGUUCCAUUCCAUCUGAAUUCCUGAAGCUAGAGAGUAACAUAUCUGCCUUUGCUCAACUAUUGCAAGCUCCUCAUGAUUAUGCUGAAAUUAUCAUAACAGAUCGUUUCCCUGUCCCCAUAUUGGUAAUUUGUGAUCAGCAUGGUUCCCAGGUUUGUAAAUGUCUUUUGGUUUCAACCUGUGAAAUAGACCACUCUACUUUUAAUUCCUUAAUAUAAUUUCCAUGAAGGUGGGUAUUCUCACUUCUGGAUUACUCAUGAUUCACCCUUCAGUUCCUGCAAAAAGGCCAAUUGCUGUCAAGGAUGAGAUAGAUUGCAUGCCCUAUCCAACUACAGGUGAUCUCCUUUUUGCUCUGAUUUUAGCAGCCAUUUUUUUAAAAAUCUUUGGUUGACUAAUCAUUGUCUUUUUGUACCUCUAUUUGGAAACCUGAAAAAUCUCUAGUCGAUUCGAUCAG